GAAAGUUCCGGCGGUACAGGAUGAGUCUGCAUCUGAUUAGCUAGUUGGUGGUGUAAUGGACUACCAAGGCGACGAUCAGUAGCUGGUUUGAGAGGAUGAUCAGCCACAAUGGGACUGAGACACGGCCCAUACUCCUACGGGAGGCAGCAGUAGGGAAUUUUGCGCAAUGGGCGAAAGCCUGACGCAGCAACGCCGCGUGAUCGAGACGCCCUUCGGGGUGUAAAGAUCUGUCAGUGGGGACGAAACUUGACGGUACCCACAGAGGAAGCACCGGCUAACUCCGUGCCAGCAGCCGCGGUAAUACGGGGGGUGCAAGCGUUGUCCGGAAUCAUUGGGCGUAAAGAGUUCGUAGGCGGCACGUAAAGUCUGGUGUUAAAGGCAGAGGCUCAACUUCUGUACGGCACUGGAUACUUGCGAGCUAGAAUGCGGUAGAGGUAAAGGGAAUUCCUGGUGUAGCGGUGAAAUGCUUAGAUAUCAGGAGGAACAUCGGUGGCGUAAGCGCUUUACUGGGCCGUAAUUGACGCUGAGGAACGAAAGCCAGGGUAGCAAAUGGGAUUAGAUACCCCAGUAGUCCUGGCCGUAAACG
rnacentral:rRNA from 1 species